rnacentral:rRNA from 1 species
AUACGUAGGGUGCGAGCGUUGUCCGGAAUUACUGGGCGUAAAGAGCUCGUAGGUGGUUUGUCGCGUCGUCUGUGAAGUUCCGGGGCUUAACUCCGGGCGUGCAGGCGAUACGGGCAUAACUUGAGUACUGUAGGGGAGACUGGAAUUCCUGGUGUAGCGGUGAAAUGCGCAGAUAUCAGGAGGAACACCGGUGGCGAAGGCGGGUCUCUGGGCAGUAACUGACGCUGAGGAGCGAAAGCAUGGGUAGCGAACAGGAUUAGAUACCCUGGUAGUCCAUGCCGUAAACGGUGGGCGCUAGGUGUAGGGGUCUUCCACGACUUCCGUGCCGUAGCUAACGCAUUAAGCGCCCCGCCUGGGGAGUACGGCCGCAAGGCUAAAACUCAAAGGAAUUGACGGGG